UACAGAGGGGGCAAGCGUUAUUCGGAAUUAUUGGGCGUAAAGGGCGCGUAGGCGGCUUGGCAAGUGUAUGGUGAAAUCCCUCGGCUUAACCGAGGAACUGCCGUCCAAACUGCUUCGCUUGAGACCGGGAGAGGUGAGUGGAAUUCCCAGUGUAGCGGUGAAAUGCGUAGAUAUUGGGAGGAACACCAGUGGCGAAGGCGGCUCACUGGACCGGUACUGACGCUGAGGCGCGAAAGCGUGGGGAGCAAACGGG
rnacentral:rRNA from 1 species